UGCCUAGGGCCUGGCCAAACGAAAGCCAAGGCCAAAGCUCACAAUUAUAAUACCGUCCACACGCACACGCACACGUACACACAUACACUCUCUCUCUCUCCGUUAGCUACUUUUGGGACCCGUACGCWAAGCAAAUUUAUCCUUGGCACGCAAUCCAGCCAAGAUGCUGGGACGGGCCCAAAGAGUUGAGCCCCACACGCAUAUUUACGCAUAUUGGCUGUAAAGCCACACGGCACAGGCUCAGGCUCAGGCUCAGGCUCCGGCAGAGCAAGAGGCUGAGGCAGAGGCACAGUCCCGCAGGCUAAGGCCGAAAACUCUUAAGCUUAGCGCCAGAACUUUGUGGUAUUGUUGUGUGUCCUUGGAGAAUUAUGCUGACAAGCAGCUGAGGCAACACCAACACCAGCAACAACAACAAUGACAAGGACAAUAGCCCGCACAACUACAGCUGCUCAAUAUUCAACACAGCAUCUAUGGGCAUGUGUGUGUGUGUGUUUCAUGUAUUUUAUAUUGGAGCUGCGGCGCUAUUACGACAUUUCCCAGGCGUGCUUACGACCAGUGGCUCUGGUUUAGAGCAUCUUCUGCAAA